UUAUUCUCCUGAGCACGUGCUUCCAUCCUGGGGGAAAUACCCCUUCAUUGUCCGAGCAGUGGGGUUGUUUGUACCCAGAUGUUGUACAUGCCUUUCUGUGGGCCCAUGUCUGCAGAACUAGAAGGUCAUUUAGGUGGGGAGGGGCAAGGUUUUUGUGUGGAAAAGGCCUGAUAGCAGUCUUUUUACCUCCUGCAGGCCUCUGUGUGGCAGGAAUGGACACCUGCUGAGUGCAAGGAAGAGGAUCUGAAGACGGUGGUGGUGGGCCAAAAUUCUACUCAGCUUAAGUUCAGCAGAGCCCAAACGGAGAAGAGAAAUUGCCUGAAUGCCAGCUCCCCUGUGCCAUGCCGGUUGUCUGCACCAGGGGCCAGGUUUCCAAAAACCCAAAGGUAUACUUAAG
ensembl:lncRNA